GAUGAACGCUAGCGACAGGCCUAACACAUGCAAGUCGAGGGGCAGCACAUGAGUAGCAAUACGAUGGUGGCGACCGGCGCACGGGUGAGUAACACGUAUGCAACCUGCCUUCUACUAUGGGAUAACCCGUUGAAAGACGGACUAAUACCGUAUAAUACAGGGGCUCCGCAUGGAGAUAUUUGUUAAUGAUUUAUUGGUUGAAGAUGGGCAUGCGUAUGAUUAGAUAGUUGGUGAGGUAACGGCUCACCAAGUCAACGAUCAUUAGGGGUUCUGAGAGGAAGGUCCCCCACACUGGUACUGAGACACGGACCAGACUCCUACGGGAGGCAGCAGUGAGGAAUAUUGGUCAAUGGACGAGAGUCUGAACCAGCCAAGUCGCGUGAAGGAAGACGGUUCUAUGAAUUGUAAACUUCUUUUGUGCAGGAAUAAAGUGGGUUACGUGUAACCUUUUGUAUGUACUGUACGAAUAAGGAUCGGCUAACUCCGUGCCAGCCGCCGCGGUAA
rnacentral:rRNA from 1 species